UUCUUUUGGAGAGUUUGAUCCUGGCUCAGGACGAACGCUGGCGGCGUGCCUAAUACAUGCAAGUCGAGCGGACCAAAUCGG
rnacentral:rRNA from 1 species